UCCGGGUGGACGCCGAAUCCUGCCAUCGCCCGGAAUCCCCACUCACACACGUGUUGGCAGGAGCGGGGGAUCCCACAGGUAGUACGCCGGUUCCGGGUCUCCGGACCGGCUUGGGGUGAAGUCGCGCUGAAAAGGCGGCCGGACAUCUCCAGUCCGAACCCGACAGCUCACCUCGCAGGCGCCGGAGAGGAAUU
rnacentral:sRNA from 2 species